GUCAUAUUGGUAUAGUGGUUAAUGAGUGAGUCUACCAUUCUCAAAGGUCAUAGGUUCGAGUUCCAUAAUUAACU
rnacentral:tRNA from 1 species